GAAAAACAGAGAAAGGCCCAACGUCAGCGGCUCGCGGGUCAUUGUAUCCACAUCCUGCUCUAUAUAAUUCCAGACGAUUUCUCAGAGGCAUGCACUGGACUGCGGCCCGGAGCUAAAGGAAAGGCCCUGUGGCGUCUCCUCCUCCGCUGGCAGUCGGGCUCAAGUUUGUGGGAAGAAAAUAAUCCAGUGUCAUCCAGUGCAGCCCAUGCUGGAGUCAGGCAGGAUACACCGCUUUGGGCGGAGGGACGCUUCUGGAUGUUUGACUUCAGCAGAAGCAUUGCCAGGAGAGCGUGUGUGUAGAUGAAAUUGUGGUUGUGUACAUGUGUGUUGGGACUCACGCAUGUGUGCUUGUGUAGGCAGCCGUGCACUGAAAGUGUUUGUGUGUUUAUGAGUGGGUAGAAUGUGUUUAGAUCUCCUCUCACCAGCAAAUUGUGUCAAAAUUUGAAUGCAUGUAUGUUAUGCAUUAUAUUAGCGGACAUUUUAAAGUGAUGGUUCAUCCAAAGAAUGAGUAUUCUCUCAGCAAAGAAGACAGUGUUUUUGUCCACAGUCAGUGGGGUCUAAUGUUGUUUGGCUCGACUAUCCCUUUAAAAUACAGAAAUAUUAAUGACAUUAUAUGCAGUGGCAUAUUCAUAUUUUUGUCCAAUCAAAAGUGUGUGAACUUGUUUAUGUGUUUGUGUGUUGGUGGAGACGGGAAACUAAUGCUUCCAAACGAACACCUGACAUUAGUAGUACUCCACCUCGUGUGUGUCCUGUUAUGGUGGGCGGCGAAUUAAAAACCAGCUUUUAAACCGAGACAUUUAGCGUUUGUGACUGGGCUGCCACAGUUUGUAAAUGCUAUUUUAACCGCACACAUCCAGUAAACGUCUCCAGGCCUGUGUGCAUAAAUAUCACAUUGAUUUGUGGCUGGUUAACAGAGACGUGCCACAGAAAAUGCUCCUCAAACCUUCAUUAACGCGGUGCCUAUUUAGGGAAGUCAAACCAGACGGGUGGUGCAUGAAGUUAUAGCACACCUUCAGAUGUUCUCUUUCUGAACGGAAAGGCCAGCGGGCCAAGUUUUGUCUGUGAAUAGCAGCGCUGGUUGAGCUGGUGUUUGGAGUGUUGGCUGAAGUCUGACAGCCAGAGGAACAUUCCAGAAAUCUCUUGAGGCAGCGGCAAAAUACUCUAAACUAUACAGUACCAGAAAGAUAGACGGACAAAUGGAUAGAUAGAUGGAUGUUAGCAUGUUAUGAUGGUUACGUGCCUGUCCAGAAUCACUCUGGCUGCAUCCUCUGGGAAUCAGUUAUAUUUAGCGGUCAGUGGUCCGUCAUCGCGGACGAUGUUUUGCUGCGGCGUCAAAUUUCACUGCCACAGUUCAAACGUCCAGAUCGUUUUCUUUCCUCAGAAGGAGGUGAUUUAUAGAAGCUGAUCGGGUGUUGAACCAGUCAAGGACGCUUCUCUGACACUAACCACCUAAAUAGAGUGCAUGUCCGAGGCAGGACACUAGAUCCGGUUCUGGGAGAAGUGCCAGGCGGUUGACUAAGCAGGAGGGUGAGAGUGUCUCGGGUUCAACGGGAGGGACCAGAGCCACAGAAAUUCACGUAUGCAUACUUUAAUGAGCAUGAGACCACACACAAAUAUUGAGUAAAAAUUAGUGUUUUUUUUUUUUAUUGGAUUAAACUAUUUUUAUUGACUUGUUUAUAAUCAUUAUUUCUCUUGUUUAUCUCAGUGCAUUCUGGGAUUGCAUUCGUCAAAUGAAUACAUGUGAGACUGCCAUAAUUACGCUGGCACAGUGUUCAUGUCAGGAGUCUGUCUGUGACAGUCUUAAAAAUGCUGCCUACGUAGGCAGCUCACUAGAGUCUGGAACUGAUCCAUGGUGUCCAGGUUCCUGGAAACAUCCUGUCGUGUUCUAACAGGAAAAACCGUUUGGCACACACACACACACACACAUCACAUGAUGUUGUGUGUGUGUGAGUGUGUGUGUGUGAGAGUGUGUGUGUGCGUGUGUGAGUGUGUGAGUGUGUGUGUGUGUGUUCUUGUACAACCCGAAUUCCGGUAAUGUUGGGAUGUUUUUUAAAUUUGAAUAAAAUGAAAACUAAGAGACUUUCAAAUCACAUGAGCCAAUAUUUUAUUCACAACAGAACAUGGAUAACAUAACAAAUGUUUAAACAGAGAAAUUUUACACUUUUAUCCACUAAAUGAGCUCAUUUCAAAUUUGAUGCCUGCUACAGGUCUCAAAAAAGUUGGCACGGGGGCAACAAAUGGCUGAAAAAGCAAGAAAUUUUGAAAAGCUUCAGCUGGGAGAACAUCUAACAACUAAUUAAGUUAAUUGAUAUCAGGUCUGUAACAUGAUUAGCUAUAAAAGGGAUGUGUUAGAGAGGCAGAGUCUCUCAGAAGUAAAGAUGUGAAAGAGUGCAUAAAAAGAUUGUGGAAUACUUUAAAAACAAUAUUCCUCAAUGUCAAAUUGCAAAGGAUUUGCAAAUCUCAUCAUCUACAGUGCAUAACAUCAUCAAAAGAUUCAGAGAAACUGGAGAAAUCUCUGCGUAAGGGACAAGGCUGAAGACCUUUAUUGGAUGCCCGUGGUCUUCGGGCCCUCAGACGACACUGCAUCACUCAUCGGCAUGAUUGUGUCAAUGACAUUACUAAACGGGCCCAGGAAUACUUCCAGAAACCACUGUCGGUAAACACAAUCCGCCGUGCCAUCUGCAGAUGCCAACUAAACUCUAUCAUGCAGAAAGGAAGCAAUAUGUGAACAUGGUCCAGAAGUGCCGUCGUGUCCUGUGGGCCAAGGCUCAUUUAAAAUGGAAAAGUGUUCAAUGGUCAGACGAGUCCAAAUUUGACAUUCUUGUUGUCUCCCUCCUCUUCUUGUCCGGGCUAAAGAGGAGGGAGACCUUCCAGUGUGUUAUCAGCGUUCAGUUGAAAAGCCAGCAUCUCUGAUGGUAUGGAGGUGCGUAAGUGCAUACGGUAUGGGCAGCUUGCGUGUUUUGGAAGGCACUAUGAAUGCUAAAAGGUACAUAUAAGGUUUUAGAGCAACAUAUGCUCCCCUACAGACGACGUCUAUUUCAGGGAAGGCCUUGUGUAUUUCAGCAGGACAAUGCAAAACCACAUACUGCAGCUAUUACAACAGCACGGCUUCAUCGUAGAAGAGUCCGGGUGCUGAAUUGACCUGCCUGCAGUCCAGAUCUUUCACCUAUAGAGAAAAAUACGUCAAAGACGACCAGCAGCUGGAAAUCUAUAUCAGGCAAGAAUGGGAUCAAAUUCCAACACUGAAACUCCAGAAACUCAUAACCUCGAUGUCCAGACAUCUUCACACUGUUUUGAAAAGAAGAGGAGAUGCUACACCAUGGUAAACAUGCCCCCAUCCCAACUAUUUUGAGACCUUUGAAAUGAGCUCAUUUUGUGCAUAAAAUUGUAAAAUUUCUCAGUUUAAACAUUUGUUAUGUUAUCUAUGUUCUAUUGUGAAUAAAAUAUUGGCUCAUAUGAUUUGAAAGUCUCUUAGUUUUCAUUUUAUUCAAAUUUAAAAAACGUCCCAACAUUUCCGAAAAUUGUGUUGUAUACAUGGUUUAUGAGGACACAAAUGUGUAUAAUGACAUGGGUAUUACAACGUAAACAUGAUUUAUGAGGUCACUUCCUGUGUCCUCGUAAACCAAAUAGCUUAAAAACAUACUAAAUGGUGUUUCUUUGAAAUUAAAAAAAAUGCAGACAGUUUGUACAGUAUAAAAACCAUUACGCCUAUGGAAUGUCCUCACUAAGAUAGCAAAACAAACCUCUGUGUGUGUGUGUGUGUGUGCUUUGAUACACCAGGCUGUAUCUGAUGAGUGAAAGGAAAAGCUGCAGCUGUAAUGAGCCACUUAGUGUCGAUCCUGUGGAAAAGUGUGGUGAUAUUUUCCUCUGCACCACCAAGACGUCUUUAACCCAGUUUCAGAGUAUCAUAAAGCCUUGCUUAUCUUUGUAGGUUAUCAUGUGUUUACAGGACAGUAUUAGUUAGAUCAUUAGUGUGAUUGAUGUUUGAACAUGUUAAAAAAGGUAAAAAAAAAUAGUGACUAGAGAGAAAGUUUUCUUUCUUUAAAUGCUCUUGGACAGACAAAAAGUGCAACAUAUUAAUGUGAAAAAGAUUUUUCAUACAUAAGUCAUACAUUAUUGUAUUGUAAGAUUAUUGUAGUACAUUUUACAAUAAAAAACUAUUUCAGUCUUUCGACUUGCUUUGUAAGUUACUAGCAGUUUCUGAGUGGAAAUUGUUUUUUCAGUGUAGUUAUUUCAGAAAAACUGUUGCUCUUUCAUCAAGUGCUCUGUUUGUUUUCCCAGAUUAAUCCCGAGCACGACUCUCUCUCCCGGGACUCAUUCUGUAAUCUUCAAAUGUGGAAACAUCAUUUCCACAUGGAUGUCGUCAUUCCCAGACACAAACAUGCCCUCAGCGCCUGGCAGGAGAUUUGAGCCGCCAUUACUGUAAUGAAAGGAGGGCAGCGCUCGCUCGUCAUUACCGACGUGAAGCCACAAAGAGGAUUAAUACAGGAAAGCCAAAGCUUUUUAUGAUGGAAAAAAAGAUGGGAAAGGGUUCAGUGCAGUAGAGAGGAGCUCCAGGUGCGCUCGUGUCCUCGGCUCGUGACCAGUUCACGGAUCUGAUUGGCUCAGGCAGAUUUGAGCCAUAUGGCCCGUCAGCAUUAAGCCGAGCGGACCGCGGGUGUCCCGUCCCGUCCGGCAGUGACAGAUCUGAGAUGAUGACAACCUUCAGAUAAGACUCUUAUUCCUCGUCUGGGAUCAUGUAGAGCUCUUUGAAGCUGCACUGAAACUGACAUUUGGACCUUCAACCUGAAGUCCACUAUAUGGAGAAAAAUCCUGGAAUGUUUUCCUCAAAAACCUUCAUUUCUUUUCCACUGAAGAAAGAAAGACGUGAACAUCUUGGAUGACAUGGAGGGAAUUUAAGGAGAAACGUGUAAGUCAGCGGAGAGAUCUGGACCGGAGAACCUGAGACAGGAAGUUGCAGCGUCAGUCUUCAGGUCAGAGUUAUAUUUACUCCAGCAGCUCUCGCACGUAUUGGAUCUCAGGGAUAUUUAUGUUUAGCUAUUUUUAACUUUUAAUUCCCUAAUGUCUUUCAGAAAAAACUUUUUUGAAAAAGAAAAAUCACAUUUGGAAUGAUUAGCUGAUGGAGUGAGUGAGUCUGUUCUCUCCCGUCCGUCAGCACCGGUCCGACCCAUGAGUCUCUUCCUCAAGGUCCUGCGCUGGCGGCUCUCCGGUUUAUUUCAGGCCGCCGCUGAGCGCCGCGUCAUUAAGUGUGUGUGUGUGUGUGUGUGUGUGUCAUGAGAGAAGAUGCCUGUUUUAAGACGGGAUGGAGUCAUGCCAGAUUACCCAGCAGCUUUAGCCAUGUGGCUGGACCUAUAGCUGUGUGUGUGUGUGUGUGUGUGUGUGUGUAAAAAUUUUAAAACAAAAAUUAUUUGAAGUGAUGGUUUUAGUUUUUAGUCCUUCUGAUAGUUCAUGGUGUUUUUCUCCAGUGGUGUUUUGGAUGUUCGGAGCGAUCGCGUCACCUGUGUUUGGAUCGGCGUGCCGCUGCUGCUCCAGAUGGAUCAUGGAAACUUCAUGGAUCAUGGUGUUGUUAUGGAAACCCAGAUGGACGCCUGCUUCCUGAAUCCAGAGAGCGGGAAGAGUUGACGGGAAUCUGAAGUGCAGUUUGGAGAGACAGAUUAUCUCGUCAGAUUCUGGCAUCUCCAUGACAACCGGAUUCUGCCACAGUGAGUUUUGCCAUUAGAUAACGGAUCCAUGGAAACAGUCUGGAGAAACACAGACGGAUAAGAGUGAAGCUGCUCCCUGAAAAUCACUCAAACACACUAUCAAUAAUGUGAGGCGAGUUUUUACCCUCUAAAUGUCGGGAUUUCUCAUAUUAUUGUGUUCCGUAAUGUCACAAUGUUCCUCAUUUAAAUAAUUCAUACGCAGAAUAAAGGGGCGGGGCCUGGUUGAGUUAGUUAGUAGUGUGUUGAAACUGGCAGUUAUGGUAAGGGGCGGGACAUUUCCCAAACACCAAUCACAACACACUGCUCCAGCCGACCAAUCAGAGCACAUUGUGCUUUUCAGAAGGAGGGGCUUCAUAGAGACAGGAACUAAACAGAGCGUUACUGACAGACUGGGAAGAGAGGUGCUGCAACAAUGGAGAAUAUGAGGAGAAUAAUCAACAUUCAACAUCUAGUAGAGCACAAAAACAACAUGAAGGGCAUAAAAUGGCCUUUUUAAGUUAUAAUAUAAUUAUUAUAUAUAAUAUAUAUAUAUUUAAAUGCUAUAUAUAACACAUCUGAUUUACAUUAGCUGCUCAUUUUCAUCUGCUAGACUUCGAUCAACAUCUCAGCUCAUUAGUAGCGCGACGCCUGACGCUUCACUGACCCUUCACACAUUUAUCUGAUUUAAAGUUUGCUGAAGUACGAAGCGAAAAGAAGUACAAGACCAAAAUGUUGUUCUUUAUGUUUAAAAGUAAUGAGGCGUGAAAUUAUUUUCCCCAAUUUAAUGGAGCUGAACUUGCUUUUAAUUACGCUUGAGUGAAAUUUCCAUCAGCUGCUCGGAGGAGAAAUAAAGAGAGAGAUGAAAAGGAGAACAGAAAGAAAGACACAAUUGGAUGGAGAAGAAAAAGGUACAACCUCAUUUGAUUGGUAAUUAUAGUCGAGCAGUCGUAAACUACGAAAGAACAGAAACUCCCGAGCUCGUGUGUGUUUAUCGGCUCGUUCCUGUUUUGCACAAUCUUUCACUUUGUUCUUGUUUAAGCAAGUUUUUCUGUAACUGAGUGCGCUGGAAGGAAAUACUGUAUGAUUUACAAUUUUCAUUCAGAAAUUGCUGGUAAAUUUCAUAAAUAAUUAUGGCAAGUAACACAUUAAAGGCUGAAAUAGUACUUUAAUAAUAUUUGUUUUAUUUACAGCUUCAAAAAAUCAUUUUUUACAGUAUAUAACUGACUUUUGGGAAUAUGUUUCAGUCAAAGAGACCAACAGAAAAACAAUAUUCUGCAUUAAAAAAGCGUUCAUUAUAGUAGGAACACUUGAAAUAUUUCUAAAUAAAUGGUCAGUUUUUAUAGUAGUAAUUAGUGUAUCGGUGAGAAAACGAGCUCAAACUAACGUAUUCAAAUAUCAUUUCCAGCAUUAAGUGCUUCAGUUUUAAGAGUGCUGCGUAGUAGAUUUUCAGAUUUUCAGAAGUGAAAGUGGCAUUUUGACCGGCUCUUGCUGAACUUUACGCUUCUUCCUCUUGUGACCGUCCGUCACAGUCUGUCCGUCAUUCCUCGGAACAAAACAGUCUCGCAAUCCAGCAGAAAGCGUGUCCGUCACUGCAGUGUGUUUGUUUUGGUGCAGGUGGUGUUUCUACAGUACUUACAGUGUUGGAUCAUUCAGUGGCCGGAUUUGAAAGCGACACUAGAGAAGUGAAACCGCCUGACGGGGAUUUCAUAACCGCCACUGGGACUUUUCUGUCCACGUUCUGAGGUCAGGCAGAGUAUGCCAUUACCCAUAAUCCACCUGUGUAGACAGCAAUAGUAGUACAGAUAUGCCAAGAGGAGCUUGUGCUUGUAUGUUCUGCUCAAACACUAGAUCAUGGUCACGGGUUCGAGGAAAUACAUGAACUGACAGAAAUGUGUUUUGUUUUGGAUCAAAUCAUCUGGCACAUGCUUGUAAAUGUGAUGUUUGGCUUACAGAUUUAGUGUGACUUCAAUAAUCCGUCCACAGGGAGAUUUUGCGCCGCACUUGGCAACUCUUGUGCCAAGAAACUACUGUAACUGGAGCAGAUCUAUACGGGAAUAAUGAGGCUCUGGCAACCCCCUCGUCCACACAUGACUCCUAAACGUCCAGCUCAAGAGAACGGGGUAACCCGAUCCACAGCGCAGGGGCUGAACUUCACCCGCCGGCACAAUGUUUCCCUGGAAAAGACAUAAAGGCUGAUCUGGAAGUUAUGGAAUGAAUUUAAUCUUGAAUCAGCAUCUCUGAUGACGAGGGCGGGGCAACCUGUCACUCACAUGAGAUCCACCAAUAGCAAACCACAACCAUCCAAUCAAUUCCCCACAGACAAAAUCAAGCCCCGCCCUACAUUUGUUCUUGUUUGCGAAGCGUUUCACUCUGAUAUACGUUCUUUUAGAUAUAAACUCGUAAGUGUGAGAUAAAAAGUUGCAAUUACCUUUCAUAUAUUUAUUUAUUUAUUUAUUUAUAUUUCGUGAUGGAAACCAGCUUCCGUAGGGAAGUGUUAUUGGAGGAUCUGCGGAUGUUUGGCAAACGUCAGAAUAACACUGUUUUUCUUCUCUUUUUCUAAAAGCACAGCACCUCAAAGUCAUGAUAUGAAACCGGGUCAGAAUAUUCUCUGGCUCCUUUGGGUUUGUUUGGGAUGAUAACUGAGGAGUGAGGUUGAGAUGUUCUUGGCAGCGACGCUCCACUGAAGCCGUGUGAGAAUAAACUACUUCCUGUCUUCAUCCAAACACACCAUUCCAGACAUUCAAGGAAGCAAAUACCGGCACUGCUUCAGAACCAGAUCAACAUUUCCAUUGACUCGAGAGCUGAAUAAUGAGGCGAUGGAUUAUAUUACUACAACUAAUGCACAAAAUAUUUUAAAAUAUUUUUUACCGCCAAGUCAUUUAAUUCAGUGUUUUUAUUCCAUCAUAAUCAGAUGUCGGCCUAAGAAAAAUCUUCACCCUUUAUUUAAAUAUGAUUCAAAAUGUGAUAAAUAUUUUGUAAGAAUGUUGCGUAAUUGUGCUUGGAGUUAUUUUAUUUGUUAUAAUAACACAAUGAUAAAUUGUGCAACAUAAUUUCUCAUACAAAGAAAUGAUGAGAAAUUAUGCAAAAAACGAGAGAACCAACUAAAUAUUAAUAACUGAUUAUGUUGUAGUCAAUGUAUGUUUUUUUUUUCUAAGCUUUAUCUAAGCUUUUUUUAAAUAGAUAAAAUAAAUAAAUAAAUACCUUAACCAAGUUUAGUUUUUGGUUUUCCCUUGUGUUUAAAAAAAUAAAAUAUUUUCCUCAUAUUGUGAUAGGUUUAAUUGGACUUGUAGGGUCAUUAAAACCAAAUGAUCCCCUCCAGACAUCACUUUUGGACACUACUGUACAUAAAAUAUAUAUAUAAUUUUAAGAAUUAUAUACACAAUUUUUAUAUUAUGAUAAUAUAUAAACAUACAUAUAAUAAUAUAUACAAUAUAUAUAUAUAUAAUGAUGCAAUAAUAUUAAAAACUAGUAUUUAGCUAUAUUUAUUUGUAUGCAUUUUUAUUUAUCAUACGUGUAUUUAUAUUUUAUCAGAUGUCUGGAGUGCUGUAUAGAUCAAGCAAAAUAAGCAAUGAGUGUCCAUCAUCAUGUGACGUCAUGCAUCAGACUCUUCAGUGCAGAAUCCUGCAUUGAUUUUCCCGAGACUCCCACAUUAGAGUCAUCUGAUGUCCGGACACAUUAAAUGAGUCUCUCCAGCAUGACCUCACCCUCCAUUACCAGCAGCUCUCGCUCGCGCCGGGGGAUGAUUGAGUUUGCGGGCAGGCCGGUCUCGGUGCCGGAUUGGGUCGGGUUGCCGACAGACAGCUGGUCUGUGGAUGUGAUUCAUUCACUGCGGGAGCAGAUCAGUGUCUGGAGAAACCCGAGCCAGUGCUGACGGCGCAGGAAACCCUGAUGCCGAUGAUGCCGUCAGUCUUCAGUCCAACACCACGAGGUCAAACACAGCCUGACGUCAUCAGACCACCAAAGCUGCAUUUUUCAGUUCGAUCAAGCCACACAGGAAACUCGAUUAGAAUACAUUAUUAUUAUUUAAAUUUAACCUAUAUUUUGUGUUUUUGAAUCUCAUUCCGUUUUUAUCCUGCUUCCUUAGAUUCAAAUUUAAAUCAAAAUCUUGUUUUCUACCUCAAUUCAAAAUUCAGGAAUUGAACUGGUUUGCUUUUGCCGAGGGCCAAAAUUCAAAUGCAAUACAAAUGUGCUAAAUGAAUGCAGUUUCCAGUGAUAAUCAGAGGAAGGAAACGGAUCAGAUCGGAUCAGGACUCAGAGCCAGGAGCGAUUUCAGCUGCGGAAAUGAGCAACGGAUGAUUUCCAUGAACCUGAACAGUGUGUUUGUGUGGACGUCUGCAGAACAGUCUGAACUCGAUCGCUGUUGUCAUUUAGAAAUCACUUGCUGAGGUGAUUGAAGAUGUGUGAGGAUGACAUCAUAACAGGAUGCGUUAGUCAGAUGAUGUGAUGCACAUGUCGCUGCGGAGAGUUUAGAAGACGUUUAAGGGCACGACAGAGUAGGUGACAUGAGUAGAGUUGAACUUUUGAGUGAUUUUGCAGCGGUGAGGAAUGGUGCCGUUCGUCCUCUGUGUGUCUGGCUCUUCAUCAGUGGAAAUGAGCCGAUAUAUCAGAGUGACACGCGGCUCCACAGGAAAGAGCUGCACGAGGGCCAGAAAACGGCCUGAUUUAAAUAAGGGCGGCGAGGAAAACCUGAAAGCGGAAAAGUUUAGAGCGUACUUUCCUUUGGUGAUCACUUUGAUUCAUUUACAACCUGUACGUUUGGCAGCAGAUUUUGGAAAGCAGAAACACAAAUCAACUGACCUUGAACAUCUGUAGCGGCAAUAAACUAUUGAGUCAUUCCAACAGCAGGUGCGGGAUUGAUCCCAUAAAAUCCUCAACAAAAUCACAGGACUUAAAGUGAAUAUAUUUUAUGCCCUUCAUGUUGUUUUUGUGCUCUACUAGAUGUUGAAUGUUGAUUAUUCUCCUCAUAUUCUCCAUUGUUCAGCUCCUCUCUUCCCAGUCUGUCAGUAACGCUCUGUUUAGUUCCUGUCUCUAUGAAGCCCCUCCUUCUGAAAAGCACAGUGUGCUCUGAUUGGUCGGCUGGAGCAGUGUGUUGUGAUUGGUGUUUGGGAAAUGUCCCGCCCCUUACCAUAACCGCCAGUUUCAACACACUACUAACUAACUCAACCAGGCCCCGCCCCUUUAUUCUGCGUAUGAAUUAUUUAAAUGAGGAAUAUUGUGAAGAAAACUCAAGAUGGAGGCGUUUCAGAAACACUGACACUGAUAUAGAGAAUAAUUUCAGAGCUUUUUCAGCAACAUUACACACUAAAGACAGAAGAAGAUGGAAAAAAAAAUACUAUGGAAGUCAAUGUUUGGUUCUUCAAAAUAUCUUCUUUUGUGUUGAGCAGAAGAAUGAAGCUCAUACAGGUUUGGAACAGCUUGAGGGUGAGUAAAUGAUGACAGAAUUUUCAUUUUUGGGUGAACUAUCCCUUUAAGUGUUUGCAUGUGGUUAAAUCUUAAUCUUAGGUUCAUUCGGUUUAUAACUGGAAAAGAGAGACAAGAACGUCACAAACGGCUCUUCUGUCGCUCAAGGUACUGCAUGUGUGCAAUAUUACACUCAAAAUGCACCUCUUUGGAUAUAACAUGUUUAUCUCUCUGUGGUCUUCAGCUGUUGGACACUGCAGAGAGGUCUGUUAUCUUAACUGCGCUGACCUUUGACCUUCGUGUUUGCUGGAAUUUCAUGUCGCGAACAAAGCAAUAACAACAGCUGUUGCUUAUUUCCCCAGCUCAGGGAAAGUUGCGUUUACAGUGGCUGACAUCCAGAGGUUAUUUGCUUGGAUGGAUUUCGGAGAACUUUAUCUUUCUCAGCGCUCUAAAUAUAGUCGUAUCAGCAACGCUGACUCCGUCUCGGAGACCGCAAACAUUUCCAUAGUUAACAGAAGGAUGCAAAGGUUGCACCUAUUCAUUUCAGGGUGAAGUCGAUCGAAAACUGAAGCAGAGUUAAAUCUCUCGUCCUUUCAUAUGUAGAAUAUGAAGCCGUCGCUCCAGACGGACAGACAGUAACAGUGAUCCAUCGUUUCCGGGAAGCUUCUCUGUGAAAUCGACCCCUCCUGAUUCCCACUUUGCCUAGCUUUUGCACUUAUUAAAGACACGGCAAAGCAGAAUCAGAAUACAGGCCAGUUUGUUUGUGCAGCGUCAUUUUUGUCUCUGCAAUAUGUUGCGGAAACGUUACCUGCGGGAUGUUAGAACAAUGUUUCUAAAACAUUUAUUGAUUAUUGUGACAUUGUUUUCAGUCAGAUUUCUGUUUUAGAAUAUCAUCAACGUAUCUUAUCACCGUCUAAGUAUAUAAAAAAUUUCACACUGAAAGAACUUAAACAACUGUGUUUUGUCUAACAGAAAAUAACACUAAAAAAUUCAUGUAAUUUAAAAAAAAAAAAGAAAAGAAACAAUUUUGUUUAAAUAGUAUUUUUGUGUUGAUCUCUAGCUUUACUGAUGGAAGAAAUUAUUGAGGGUUUUAUUAAUUUUUCUGAUUUUGUUAGUUCAUAAUUGAAAAGAUUAUGCAUAUUUUAAAAUGCAUAUUUGCAUAUGCAUAAUAUAAACAUUAAGGUCAUUUGUUGAAUAUUAGUCUUUAUUUAUAGUUGGUGAACACUAACAAAAUGUAUGAAGUGAAAAUUCUUCUUUUAUAUUAUAACUAAUUUAGCUUUGGUUUAUGGUGAAAUUCAAGUUGUAAAAAGCCAAAAAAUAUUAUAUUGACCUACAUUAAGUAACAUUUUAAAGAAAAUACAUUGAUUAAGUUAUGAUAAAAAAUAUUUUUACUUUGUAUAAAUGGUUUGUCUUUGGGAAAACAUUAUAAAAAUAUAAUUUGAGAAAAACAAAUAAAUUUGGCCGUAUCAAAUUUGGUCCACAGUAUCAUUUUUUUCAGUGUCAAAGCAUCAUCCCAGUACUUUCUCCAAGUGUUUUGAAGGCUCAUGUUGUCAGUUUAAUUGUUGCAUUAUGCAGCAAUAUGCAAAAUUAACCUCGUUGUUUAUCAUCAUUGAUGCACCUGAACAGAAAAAUGACUUUCAUCAGUAAUUGACAUGCACAAUCGACAAAAUCAGGAGAGUGAGAUCGAUUCCCUCUGCGUCUGCUGGAAAAACAUCACGUGAUGCGUGUUUUCCUGAAACAAAGAGACACAGAUUCUCCCCGUGACUCCCAGCGCCUGAUUGGGUGUGAUUCCGCUGCCGUAACCAUGGUGACCGCCCACAGAGCACCUGGAGUGAUGACGCAGGCGUCGCCAUGACUCCUGAAGGACGGAGCGCUGGUAUAAAUAGAAAGAGGGAUGAUGUUUGGGGAAGAUGUUGCCAGCUGUGACCCACACACACACUCACACACUCUGGUAUCAGAGCCACAGGUGCGACACUGACUGAAUGCCAAUGGGAAUCUCUGUCAGUGUGACUUUGGAAAAUUUCAGUGUCACUCUGACUGUAACAGACUGUAAUAUUCAUCAUCCCUUAGGAGAAUGUUGACUCUUGCUCAGAGGUUUGCUCUCUUAUCUCUCAGGAGACUAAAUGGAGCUCGAGUCAAAUCUUGUUUUAAAUAUGGGUUUUGUCUCAAAUAUUUAGCUACUUUGUCUACAAGUUUAUCUCUCUGAGAAAACCUCAGACUGAAAUCUACAUUGAUCUAUUGAUGUUUAGACUGUGGAAAAAAACUAGCGAUCAGGUGUUUUCAAUCUCAUCUGAAAUGAGCAGUGUUGGGGUAAUGCAUUACGUGCUUUACGUAAUCAAAUUACUUUUUGACGUAACGAGUAAAGUAACGCAUUACAAGUAACGUGCAUUAGUAAUCCGAUUACUUUUUGAUGUAAUAAGUAACGCAUUACAAGUAAUGUGCAUUAGUAAUCAGAUUACUUUUUGAUGUAACGAGUAAAGUAACGCAUUACAAGUAACGUGCAUAACGUGAUCGGAUUACUUUUUGAUGUAAUGAGUAAAGUAACGCAUUACAAGUAAUGUGCAUUAGUAAUCAGAUUACUUUUUGAUGUAACGAGUAAAGUAACGCAUUACAAGUAACGUGCAUUAGUAAUCCGAUUACUUUUUGAUGUAACGAGUAAAGUAAUGCAUUACAAGUAACGUGCAUUAGUAAUCCGAUUACUUUUUGAUGUAACGAGUAAAGUAAUGCAUUACAAGUAACGUGCAUUAGUAAUCCGAUUACUUUUUGAUGUAAUAAGUAACGCAUUACAAGUAAUGUGCAUUAGUAAUCAGAUUACUUUUUGAUGUAACGAGUAAAGUAACGCAUUACAAGUAAUGUGCAUAACGUGAUCGGAUUACUUUUUGAUGUAAUGAGUAAAGUAACGCAUUACAAGUAAUGUGCAUUAGUAAUCAGAUUACUUUUUGAUGUAACGAGUAAAGUAACGCAUUACAAGUAACGUGCAUUACGCAAUCCGAUUACUUUUUGAUGUAACGAGUAAAGUGACGCAUUACAAGUAACGUGCAUUAGUAAUCCGAUUACUUUUUGAUGUAACGAGUAAAGUAAUGCAUUACAAGUAACGUGCAUUAGUAAUCCGAUUACUUUUUGAUGUAAUAAGUAACGCAUUACAACUAAUGUGCAUUAGUAAUCCGAUUACUUUUUGAUCUAACGAGUAAAGUAACGCAUUACAAGUAACGUGCAUUAGUAAUCCGAUUACUUUUUGAUGUAAUAAGUAACGCAUUACAAGUAAUGUGCAUUAGUAAUCAGAUUACUUUUUGAUGUAACGAGUAAAGUAACGCAUUACAAGUAACGUGCAUAACGUGAUCGGAUUACUUUUUGAUGUAACGAGUAAAGUAACGCAUUACAAGUAAUGUGCAUUAGUAAUCAGAUUACUUUUUGAUGUAACGAGUAAAGUAACGCAUUACAAGUAAUGUGCAUAACGUGAUCGGAUUACUUUUUGAUGUAAUGAGUAAAGUAACGCAUUACAAGUAAUGUGCAUUAGUAAUCAGAUUACUUUUUGAUGUAACGAGUAAAGUAACGCAUUAAAAGUAAUGUGCAUAACGUGAUCGGAUUACUUUUUGAUGUAACGAGUAAAGUAACGCAUUACAAGUAACGUGCAUUACGCAAUCCGAUUACUUUUUGAUGUAACGAGUAAAGUAACGCAUUACAAGUAACGUGCAUUAGUAAUCCGAUUACUUUUUGAUGUAAUAAGUAACGCAUUACAAGUAAUGUGCAUUAGUAAUCAGAUUACUUUUUGAUGUAACGAGUAAAGUAACGCAUUACAAGUAACGUGCAUAACGUGAUCGGAUUACUUUUUGAUGUAAUGAGUAAAGUAACGCAUUACAAGUAAUGUGCAUUAGUAAUCAGAUUACUUUUUGAUGUAACGAGUAAAGUAACGCAUUACAAGUAACGUGCAUUAGUAAUCCGAUUACUUUUUGAUGUAACGAGUAAAGUAAUGCAUUACAAGUAACGUGCAUUAGUAAUCCGAUUACUUUUUGAUGUAACGAGUGAAGUAAUGCAUUACAAGUAACGUGCAUUAGUAAUCCGAUUACUUUUUGAUGUAAUAAGUAACGCAUUACAAGUAAUGUGCAUUAGUAAUCAGAUUACUUUUUGAUGUAACGAGUAAAGUAACGCAUUACAAGUAAUGUGCAUAACGUGAUCGGAUUACUUUUUGAUGUAAUGAGUAAAGUAACGCAUUACAAGUAAUGUGCAUUAGUAAUCAGAUUACUUUUUGAUGUAACGAGUAAAGUAACGCAUUACAAGUAACGUGCAUUACGCAAUCCGAUUACUUUUUGAUGUAACGAGUAAAGUGACGCAUUACAAGUAACGUGCAUUAGUAAUCCGAUUACUUUUUGAUGUAACGAGUAAAGUAAUGCAUUACAAGUAACGUGCAUUAGUAAUCCGAUUACUUUUUGAUGUAAUAAGUAACGCAUUACAACUAAUGUGCAUUAGUAAUCCGAUUACUUUUUGAUCUAACGAGUAAAGUAACGCAUUACAAGUAACGUGCAUUAGUAAUCCGAUUACUUUUUGAUGUAAUAAGUAACGCAUUACAAGUAAUGUGCAUUAGUAAUCAGAUUACUUUUUGAUGUAACGAGUAAAGUAACGCAUUACAAGUAACGUGCAUAACGUGAUCGGAUUACUUUUUGAUGUAACGAGUAAAGUAACGCAUUACAAGUAAUGUGCAUUAGUAAUCAGAUUACUUUUUGAUGUAACGAGUAAAGUAACGCAUUACAAGUAAUGUGCAUAACGUGAUCGGAUUACUUUUUGAUGUAAUGAGUAAAGUAACGCAUUACAAGUAAUGUGCAUUAGUAAUCAGAUUACUUUUUGAUGUAACGAGUAAAGUAACGCAUUAAAAGUAAUGUGCAUAACGUGAUCGGAUUACUUUUUGAUGUAACGAGUAAAGUAACGCAUUACAAGUAACGUGCAUUACGCAAUCCGAUUACUUUUUGAUGUAACGAGUAAAGUGACGCAUUACAAGUAACGUGCAUUAGUAAUCCGAUUACUUUUUGAAGUAACGAGUAAAGUAAUGCAUUACAAGUAACGUGCAUUAGUAAUCCGAUUACUUUUUGAUGUAAUAAGUAACGCAUUACAAGUAAUGUGCAUUAGUAAUCAGAUUACUUUUUGAUGUAACGAGUAAAGUAACGCAUUACAAGUAACGUGCAUUAGUAAUCCGAUUACUUUUUGAUGUAAUAAGUAACGCAUUACAAGUAAUGUGCAUUAGUAAUCAGAUUACUUUUUGAUGUAACGAGUAAAGUAACGCAUUACAAGUAAUGUGCAUAACGUGAUCGGAUUACUUUUUGAUGUAACGAGUAAAGUAACGCAUUACAAGUAAUGUGCAUUAGUAAUCAGAUUACUUUUUGAUGUAACGAGUAAAGUAACGCAUUACAAGUAACGUGCAUUACGCAAUCCGAUUACUUUUUGAUGUAACGAGUAAAGUAAUGCAUUACAAGUAACGUGCAUUAGUAAUCCGAUUACUUUUUGAUGUAAUAAGUAACGCAUUACAAGUAAUGUGCAUUAGUAAUCAGAUUACUUUUGAUGUAACGAGUAAAGUAACGCAUUACAAGUAACGUGCAUUAGUAAUCCGAUUACUUUUUGAUGUAACGAGUAAAGUAAUGCAUUACAAGUAACGUGCAUUAGUAAUCUGAUUACUUUUUGAUGUAAUAAGUAACGCAUUACAAGUAAUGUGCAUUAGUAAUCCGAUUACUUUUUGAUGUAACAAGUAAAGUGAUGCAUUACAAGUAAUGUGCAUAACGUGAUCGGAUUACUUUUUGAUGUAACGAGUAAAGUAACGCAUUACAAGUAACGUGCGUUAGUGAUCAGAUGACUUUUUGAUGUAACUGAUGGUGUUUGUUCUUAUAAAAAUCACCACAAUAUUAGAGUGACGUGUGGUUGCUAGGGUGGUUGCUAAGUGCUUUUAUUGCAUUGUUCUUGCUAUGUGGUUGCUAACAUAUGAGUCACUAGAUGUUGUCCAGUUAGAGUAUAGAGUGAUAAAAUAACAUGAAUGAACACAGUUUGAGACAUUGGUCUGAUAUAAAAAAAGAUACAAAAAAAGAAAAUCACAUGAGUUUUACCAUUCAAAAUGAAUGUCUGCUUUGUCACCGCAGCAUCUCAGGCUGAGAGAAGGAUACGGCGGUCCGUCGCCGUGGCAACCAUCUCACGGAUGCGGCUAGAGACGGUUGGCUGCUGCCAGCCCAGGUUUAAAGUUUCAAUAGAACUUGAAUUAUUCCGUCAAACGAUCCGUUUCAUCAUCCGGUCGUAGACGGUCAUGUUUGUUGUUGAGCAGGUUUGUGAUGAAAACAGAGUUCUGUUUGAAGAUGCCUGCGUUUCUUGCAUUAAUUUCUUUAUUUGUUACGGUUUACAUAUUAUAUAUAAUAUAUAAUGUAAUGAUAUUCUUGUGAAUGGAAUUGUAUUGUUUAAACCAGCAGAAGCCGGAGCUGUGAGGGUCUUGCAGCAGAUCGUACAGCAUGUACACACGUGACCCGUGACCUUUGACUGAUGAAACAUUUACUGUGGAAAAACACACGUCGGCAAACAAACACUGGCUAAUUGAGCGGGUUCAUUAUGUCACACACAUGAAUAGAUGCUCGGGUCAGGCCGCUCUUAUCAGAGGAGGCGUGACAUGCGAUUGGCCGGCCACAUCAGGUGACCAAACAGCCUCUCGGGAGGAAAAGUUCAGGUUUGUGUCUCGAGUUUCCUGUGUGGCUUGUUUUUCAUUGGUUAAUUAUUAAGUGUGGGAAAGAGCAGUUCAGGGGGUGGGGAGAGACACGGCCGCUUUCAGAUCCAUUGUAGGGCGACAGAGGACUCCGAGGAUACCUGUUUCCUUCCACGUAACUGGUGUGUGUGUGUGUGUGUGUGUGUGUGUGUGCCUCUCUGAGCUUUACAUGUCAUGGGAUUGUGCAGCACAUUGUGUGAACAAGUUCUUCCCCGUGUAACCCAAAUACAUCUCCAUUCACGACAGGAGACACUCCUCCUGCAUUUAAUGUCAGCUUCCCAAAGCUAUCGCUUUCCAUGCGUGUCCGUGCUUCAGCGCUCAAGGCUCUUUCUGAGAAACCAGGACUUUUCCAGUUCAAUCAUGUGAUUCAUACUGUAGAGUUUUAGACACUGCAGGUAAAUAGUGUAAAAAUAUUAACUAGUUGAUCUCAUCAUACAUUCCCCAGCUGAUUAAUCACUGCACAUUAAGACAAUUGUUUUGUAUUACAGGUUUUCUGAAAUGUUAUGUUUAAAUUGCAAAUGAGGUGAGACCUAAUUAAAUAUGCACUAAUUUGCAUACAUUUCCAGAACAGAAAUCUGAACAUUGGAUAAAGCAGGAUUCAUAAUUCUUGUGUAUUUUGUUGACAUAUUGAAGGUUUUUCCAGAGGAGAUUUUGGAUUUCUCUUUUUAUCACUGCAUAAAUCAGAAAAUAUGAAAAAAGUCAUCUGUUUACGUAAUGCACGUUACUUGUAAAGCAUUACUUUACUCGUUAUAUCAAAAUCAUCUGAUUGCGUAAUGGACGUUACUUGUAAUGCGUUACUUUACUCGUUAUAUCAAAAUCAUCUGAUUGCGUAAUGCACGUUACUUGUAAUGCGUUACUUUACUUGUAAUGCGUUACUUGUAAUGCGUUACUUUACUCGUUAUAUCAGUCAUCUGAUUGCGUAAUGCACAUUACUUGUAAUGUGUUACUUCAUUUGUAAUGCGUUACUUUACUCGUUAUAUCAGUCAUCAGAUUGCGUAAUGCACGUUACUUGUAAUGCGUUACUUUACUCGUUAUAUCAGUCAUCAGAUUGCGUAAUGCACGUUACUUGUAAUGCGUUACUUUACUCGUUAUAUCAGUCAUCUGAUUGCGUAAUGCACAUUACUUGUAAUGUGUUACUUCAUUUGUAAUGCGUUACUUUACUCGUUAUAUCAGUCAUCAGAUUGCGUAAUGCACGUUACUUGUAAUGUGUUACUUUACUCUUUAUAUCAGUCAUCUGAUUGCGUAAUGCACGUUACUUGUAAUGUGUUACUUUACUCGUUAUAUCAGUCAUCAGAUUGCGUAAUGCACGUUACUUGUAAUGCGUUACUUUACUCGUUAUAUCAGUCAUCAGAUUGCGUAAUGCACGUUACUUGUAAUGUGUUACUUUACUCUUUAUAUCAGUCAUCUGAUUGCGUAAUGCACAUUACUUGUAAUGUGUUACUUCAUUUGUAAUGCGUUACUUUACUCGUUAUAUCAGUCAUCAGAUUGCGUAAUGCACGUUACUUGUAAUGCGUUACUUUACUCGUUAUAUCAGUCAUCAGAUUGCGUAAUGCACGUUACUUGUAAUGUGUUACUUUACUCUUUAUAUCAGUCAUCUGAUUGCGUAAUGCACAUUACUUGUAAUGUGUUACUUCAUUUGUAAUGCGUUACUUUACUCGUUAUAUCAGUCAUCAGAUUGCGUAAUGCACGUUACUUGUAAUGCGUUACGUUACUCGUAUCAUCAAAAAAUACAUUUCACCAUAUUUUUAGGUGUAAAAUGUUCUAUAAACCAGGUGAAUGAUAAUUGAAUAAACCUUCAGAUUAUAGAUAUGAAUAAAACUGUAAAGUUUGUUGUGUGUAAAGCUGCUGAAGAGGAGAUUUCUGACUCAAACUCAUCACAUUUAAAGAUCUACAGACACAAAGAGAUAAAGUGCAAUAAAAUAAACUAUAGUUUGCUUCUUAAAGCUCAUUCUUAAAGAAUUUAAAGCUCAUAAUUCUAUAAAUAUCAACUGUUCAAUCAGUUGUUUACUAAGCAAAUUCAUGGUAACAGUGUUUCCAUGGUAACAGUGUUUUCUCUUUUCAGGUCACACUGACUGAAUGUCGUCUACUGAAACACAUCAUCAUUAAUAAUGGUUUAUACUUCAUCACUAAAUGGUAUUUUUACUUCUGGAAAUCAUUUGUGACAGAGCUUAAACUGUUCAAAAAAAUCCUCUUUCUCAGCACACACAAAAGAUUUGAUGAUGAAAGAGUGAAAACAGACACUCCCAAACCACACACACACACACACACACACACACACACACACACACACAGAGAGAACACCACUCUGCCCUAGUAAACAGGGUGACGAGGAAUAGCAUUACUCAACGGCUGAUGAUUAUUUACACAAACAUGCCGUUGGGAAACGAGGUGAUGAUGGAUCCGGAGGGAAAGCAUCUGUUGUCCAUCUGAUCCCAGUCAAAUCCAGUACAGUUUUCCACUGACCCUUCCUCUCGUCAUGAUAAAAAAGAUUAAACAUGUUUCUCCUGAGAAAAAGACCUCAGUAAUCUCACAUGUGUUCCUCUAGAGUUCCAGAUCUCAGUCAAGUCAGCUUUAUUUCUACAGCGCUUCAUACAAUACAGACUGUUUCAAAGCAGCUUCACAGUGAUCAACAGGAAAGUAGAUUCAAUGAUGCAAACAGAGUUCAAUUCUACUGUAAAGACAAUAGUGUCAUUAUUCAGAUCAAUUCACUUUAGUGUUGAUUCAAUUUAGUUCAAUAACUGUGUAAAUAGUGCAAAGUUCCUCAAUUAAUCAGUUUAAUUCAGUUCUGAAGUCUGGAAAUGAUCGCAAACAUUUCAAAAACCAACAUGCUUGAGUUUGACCUGAACCAGCAAAUUUUAAAGGAAAAAUUACAGAGAAUUUUAGAGAUUUAUAAAAUAAUUUAACUGAUUUAACAUAUUUUACAAUAAAGCAUAAUGUCAAAUAUAAUGCUGUGAAAGAGUAAAAGUGUAUAUUUGGGAUUUUCCCACAAGGAAUGGGAAUGUUUUUGUUGUUGUUGUUGUUUUGUAACAUGUAUUUUUGCAUGCUUUGAAGCACUGUGUGUGUGUGUGUGUGUGUGUGUGUGUGUGUGUGUGUGUGUGUUUUUCCAGCAUGAGUCUUAUAAUUACACGCAUUCUGUGUCCCGCCGUAACGCAUUCCUUCCUGCUGGCCCUCGAUCAGCCGGAGUUAAUCCCAGUUUUCCUCACUGAUGAAGAAAAAGAGUCGCUCAUCUCCUCAUUACUGAUGUUCCUCCUGUCAGGAGAUUCUGCUUAGUAACCCGUUGUCAUGGUGGUGGUCCCGCGCUCUGAUUGGACGGGAGACGAGGCCUCAGGGACUCCGACGCAUCUCUUCUCUUCUCUGAUGAUGAGGGCGGGGCAACCUGUCACUCACAUGAGAUCCACCAAUAGCAAACCACAACCAUCCAAUCAAUUCCAAAAGCCCUACAUUUGUUCUUGUUUGCAAAGCGUUUCACUCGGUACAAUAGGGAAGAAAAGUGUUUCCUGCCAACUUUAUCUACAUUACAAAUACAUUUUACUGCCUAAAGACAUGUUUUCAGCGCAUUUUUGUUUUUAGUUUCUUCCAAAAGAUUUAUGUAUAAUUUAAAUGUAUAAAAUGUGAAAAAAAGGUUUUCAAGGAGCUCACUUCUUUUUAUGUUCAAUUCAAUUCAAUUCACAUUUAUUUGUAUAGCGCUUUUCACAAUAUCGUUUCAAAGCAGCUUUACAGAGAAUGCAUGUCAUCAUUACAAUUUGGAGAAUGCAGUUAGCUAAUAAUGUAAUAAUUUAGGCAAUUAAUUUACAAUCACUGUUAGCAAUUUAAUUGAAGCCUAAAUUAUGUAGCCUAAAUGGUAUUUUCUUAAAAAAACAAAUAAUGCUUUGUCCUUUACUUUGCAAAAUAUCAUUCUGAAAAUCAAAUGCACACAUUUCUAUCACAGACUCCAGUUUUGCUCUUGUUGAUUGUAACGGGAGUGUUUAUAACGGCAGCGCUGAUGGAGGCGUCGCUCAUUGAAGCCAGAUGUGUCCGAAGAAACACACUUCCCUCCCGCUCCAUGCAUUUCCAUCAUCAACAACUGCUCAAACACAAUCAGCACUGAGUGCAUAUGGAGCACAUGUGUGCAGGAAUCACAGCGCUUUGAGCUACAUCUCACGUUCAGCACGACGGCGUAACAAACGCACAUAGCUGUGUUUUCAUUCAUGCACUUCACAGAAAUACGUUCUAAGAACGUUUUGAUAACGUUCCCAUUAAGUGAUGAAAAGUUUUUUUGAAUGUUCUCUAAAUAUUCAAAACGUUAGAGAAAACAUUAAAGGAUUCAAAUGUCCUGAUAAUUUACUCACCCCCAUGUCAUCCAAGAUGUUCAUGUCUUUCUUUCUUCAGUGGAAAAAAAAUUAAGGUUUUUGAGGAAAACAUUCCAGGAUUUUUCUCCAUAUAGUGGACUUCAGGUUGAAGGUCCAAAUGUCAGUUUCAGUGCAGCUUCAAAGAGCUCUACAUGAUCCCAGACAAGGAAUAAGAGUCUUAUCUAGAGAAACCAUCGGACAUUUUCUAAAAAAAAAUAAAGAUUUAUAUACUUUUUAACCACAAAUGCUC